rnacentral:misc_RNA from 1 species
AGCAGCCGCGGUAAUUCCAGCUCCAAUAGCGUAUAUUAAAGUUGUUGCAGUUAAAAAGCUCGUAGUUGAAUUUCGAGAUCAAAUUGUUGGUCGUGCCUUGGUACGCACUGGCAUUAUUGGUUUCUCCCUUCUGACGAACCAUGAUGUCAUUAAUUUGGUGUCUUGGGGAAUCAGGACUGUUACUUUGAAAAAUUAGAGUGUUUAAAGCAGGCUCACGCUUGAAUACAUUAGCAUGGAAUAAUGAAAUAGGACGUUUGAUUCUAUUUUGUUGGUUUCUAGGAUCGACGUAAUGAUUAAUAGGGAUAGUUGGGGGCAUUAGUAUUCAAUUGUCAGAGGUGAAGUUCUUGGAUUUAUUGAAGACUAACUACUGCGAAAGCAUUUGCCAAGGAUGUUUUCAUUAAUCAAGAACGAAAGUUAGGGGAUCGAAGACGAUCAGAUACCGUCGUAGUCUUAACCAUAAACUAUGCCGACUAGGGAUCGGAUGAUGUUAAUUUUAAUGUAA